rnacentral:rRNA from 1 species
AUUGAACUGAAGAGUUUGAUCCUGGCUCAGAUUGAACGCUGGCGGAAUGCUUUACACAUGCAAGUCGAGCGGCAGCGCGGGGCAACCUGGCGGCGAGCGGCGAACGGGUGAGUAACAUAUCGGAACGUAUCCUUUAGUGGGGGAUAACGCAGCGAAAGCUGUGCUAAUACCGCAUACGAUCGGGAGAUGAAAGCGGGGGAUCGCAAGACCUCGCGCUAAAGGAGUGGCCGAUAUCAGAUUAGCUAGUUGGUGAGGUAAAGGCUCACCAAGGCGACGAUCUGUAGCUGGUCUGAGAGGAUGAUCAGCCACACUGGAACUGAGACACGGUCCAGACUCCUACGGGAGGCAGC